UUGCAAUGCGUAUUCUUAGUAAGGGAUUAGCGAGGAAUGCAGCUUUUUUGCGGCAUAAUGGAUUUGCCCAAGAAUGUCGCACAGAAAUCGUUCGACGCGAUCAUGCAAAAUAUACAUACUGCUGCGAAAGCCGUCGGUAUGGAAUCCCUGAAAAAGGCUGCUGAAAAUGAAAUACAAUUAACUAAUGAAGCUGCACAUCCAAAUGUACCAGACGGCCUUAAAAUAUCUGGAGACGGAACGUGGAUGAAACGAAGAUUUUUUUCGCUUUUUGGUGUUGCAACUAUCAUCGGAUGGUACACGGGAAAGGUCAUGGAUCUUGUUGUAAAAAGUUCCUACUGCAAAGAAUGCGAGACUCACGAAAAAGAGAAAGGUACUAUGAAAUAUGAAAAAUGACUAGUAAAUCACGAAGAACAGUGCUCAGCAAAUCACAUUGGAAGUGCAGGAAAAAUGGAAUCCGAUGCCAUUGUUGAAAUCUUUCAAAGAUCACUUGAGUUGUAUAAUGCUGUUUGCAUACUACAUUGGAGACGGCGACUCAAAAACUUUUUCAGCAAUUGUUAAAGCUUCUAUAUAUGAUAAUAUAAUACCGAAGAAAUUAGAAUGCGCAGGACAUGUACAAAAACGCAUGGGUACGUGGCUUCGUAACGUUAAAAAACGUAUAAAGAAACAGCAAAAGUCACUAAAUCGAAGUCGCAGAGCCUCGAGGGCAAAAGAAAAUUAACAGCAUCAUUAAUUGAUAAAUUAACUGUAUAUUACGGUUUGGCGAUUAGAAAUAAUUGUGAUUCAGUGAAAAAUAUGAAGGACGCAAUUUGGGCCACAUUUUAUCAUAAAAUUUCCACCGACGCAAAGCCACAACAUAUGUAUUGCCCGACCGGAGCCGAUAGUUGGUGCACAUGGCAGCAAGGGAAGACUGCAGGGACUCUCAAGAAUUACGUACAUAAACCUGCGUUACUGGACAUCGUUCAAACAGCCAUUAAACCUGUGUACGAAGCCCUAAGUAAAGAAGAAUUGUUGCAAAGGUGUCUAGGAAGUUAUACACAAAACAAUAAUGAAAGCUAUAAUCAGAAAAUUUAGAAGAUCGCUCCGAAAUCGACUUUUGGCAGCCUUAGAAUAAUUUAAACUGCUGCUUAUGUGGCUGCGAGUACUUUCAAUGACGGAACCGAUGCCUAUCUUCGAAUAUUAGAUGUAUUGGGCAUACAAAUUGGACGAAACGCUUACGAUUAUUGUCAGCAAGAGGACGCAAACUGGUUGAUGCACGCUAGGAUCAAGGCGCAGUAACAGACAAAGGAAGCGAGAACUGCUCGUAGGCAGGCAAAAUUAAUGCUAAAUACGGCAAAUGAAGCUCAGGAAGGUACUUCUUAUGGCUCCGGAAUAGCCGAGUAAUCAUCGAACUAACCUACAAUGCAAAAUCAUGCAGACACUAGGAUCAUGAACGCUCAUCAUUGGUGCAUGCAACUUGCCAUAAAAGUUACAAUUUUUUAUGAAACUUAAUAAUUUUUUAUAUACAUAUACUCAAAUAUAUAACAA